rnacentral:rRNA from 1 species
CGGACGGGUGAGUAAUGUCUGGGAAACUGCCUGAUGGAGGGGGAUAACUACUGGAAACGGUAGCUAAUACCGCAUAACGUCGCAAGACCAAAGAGGGGGACCUUCGGGCCUCUUGCCAUCGGAUGUGCCCAGAUGGGAUUAGCUAGUAGGUGGGGUAACGGCUCACCUAGGCGACGAUCCCUAGCUGGUCUGAGAGGAUGACCAGCCACACUGGAACUGAGACACGGCCAG